rnacentral:rRNA from 1 species
UACGUAGGGGGCAAGCGUUGUCCGGAAUUAUUGGGCGUAAAGCGCGCGCAGGCGGUCAAUUAAGUCUGGUGUAUAAACCAAAGGCUCAACCUUUGGACGCAUUGGAAACUGGUUGACUGGAGUGUAGGAGAGGAAAGUGGAAUUCCACGUGUAGCGGUGAAAUGCGUAGAGAUGUGGAGGAACACCAGUGGCGAAGGCGACUUUCUGGCCUAUAACUGACGCUGAGGCGCGAAAGCGUGGGGAGCAAACAGG